UACAGAGGUCUCAAGCGUUGUUCGGAUUCAUUGGGCGUAAAGGGUGCGUAGGCGGCGCGGUAAGUCGGGUGUGAAAUCUCGGAGCUUAACUCCGAAACUGCAUUCGAUACUGCCGUGCUUGAGGACUGGAGAGGAGACUGGAAUUUAUGGUGUAGCAGUGAAAUGCGUAGAUAUCGUAAGGAAGACCAGUGGCGAAGGCGGGUCUCUGGACAGUUCCUGACGCUGAGGCACGAAGGCCAGGGGAGCAAACGGG
rnacentral:rRNA from 1 species